UACGUAGGGUGCAAGCGUUAAUCGGAAUUACUGGGCGUAAAGCGUGCGCAGGCGGUGAUGUAAGACAGUUGUGAAAUCCCCGGGCUCAACCUGGGAACUGCAUCUGUGACUGCAUCGCUGGAGUGCGGCAGAGGGGGAUGGAAUUCCGCGUGUAGCAGUGAAAUGCGUAGAUAUGCGGAGGAACACCGAUGGCGAAGGCAAUCCCCUGGGCCUGCACUGACGCUCACGCACGAAAGCGUGGGGAGCAAACAGG
rnacentral:rRNA from 1 species